rnacentral:lncRNA from 1 species
CCUAAGGCCAUCAGAAAUAUGUGUUUUCUGAUGGUCUUUAGGCGACCCCUGUGAAAGGAUCGUUUGACCCCCGAAGGGGUCGCAACCCACAGGUUGAGAACCACUGAGCUAGAGGAAUGGGAUAGUAGUUGUAAAACCAUUGGUGGGGAAAUUUAUUAAGGUCCCUUUCUCCUUUCCUUUGCAGGUGUGAUACAGAUGACACUUGGUCUGUACCUCUCAAACGUUAUCCCUUUGACUUAUUGAAAACCAGGGAGUUUCUGGAGUAUGCAAGACUCAAAUUGCAAUUGUAUUAGGUCUUAUGGAAGGAGCCAUCCAUUCUGUCUCUCUCUCUCUCUGCAAUUUCUUCUUUCCAUUCUCCCUGAUGUGGGCAUUGAUUCCCUUUUUGACAUUCCCAAGCCUGGACCAAAACGUGAUAUUUCACACAAAAUUCCUGGGUUUCAACACAUUCUAGACUAUAUUGUUUAUUACUCCUUUUUGCAGGUGGGGUCUACUUCACUACUCCCUGUACACCUGCAUAAGCACAAUCUUUCACCCAAAAUACAUAAUCUUUUUUUAUUUUUGAGAUUUAUGAUGCUUGGAACAAAGUUUCAUGCAUGGCAAUGCAAUUUGGAAUGCUUAUUUUCCUUUUCAGUCAAGUUCUUUUCUCC